CUUUUUAAACAUGGAAUCAUAACUAUUUCAUGUGCAUUUAACUAUCUUGGCAAAUACCCAUAAGCUAAAAUAAUCUUAUGCAUACUUAGAAUUCACAAUCAGUAGAGUUUAUACAUCAUUACAGUACUUAAUACAUAAUCAUUCCAGUUAUUUAACAUUUCUAGGGAUGGAGUAUAAAAACUCACCUGAUGUCUCUUGCCUCCCAAGCUUAACUAUUCCAAAUGCUAAAACUUUCAUUCUCUUGGCAGCUAAGCAUUAUAACCAAAAUCUUGAGCUAAGCUCAAUAAUUUCAGCUUAAAACUUAGUUUUUCAGAAACAUGCAGAACCCCUCAAAAGCCAUCAAUCAUGUUUAAACCAGGUACUAACUUUUCCUAAUUUUUCAGUAGAGGUCAUCAACUUACGGUUUUUCUAAUUUAACCUCUAAUUGUUCCUAAUUUUAAGAUUUAAUGAAAAUCAGGUGUGACAACUACAAUGAAGCAUUGAGAAACCAUGGUUAAAAUCAACAUAAGCGUAACUGAAGUGGCUGUUUGUGAGAUCGUGUGAGUGCCUUGGGAAUUUAUACGUUCAUCUUCAGAUCUCAUUAGUAUAAACUGAACUGGUGCAUUGAUGAGGGAUAAAAUGAAGCAGGUCAUAACCUAAAUAACAGCUUUAGCAGCUGUAAUUCUCCUAAUGGCCACCCAAAUAGUGCCUCAUAAUAUCUCCACCUCACGCAUUUACUAACCUAAUUUUCUAUUGGGCACCCAAACGGUGUACUAAUGAAAUCAAACCCUAACAAAAACAGAACUUUCUAAAACCUAAGCAAUCACCCAGAUCUCCCCAUUUCACUACCUAUCUUCUUCUUCGCCAAAAUAAACACCUGCACCAGUGCCAGAUAGAAUCACUUGUGUCCACUAUCAGUCAAUCUUCUUCUAAUGAAUCUGGGACCUCCUCUAUCCACUAUCGUGGCAGCUCAUGACAUCGACCCUCUCUUGCUAAUGCUUGUGUCACACCGUUAGCUGUUCUGGGUAUGUACCGAAAAGUGAUCCUUGUGAAAUUAGGGAUUUUCUUUUUUAUUUCUUUUAAUAUUGCGCUAAUAUCUGAUCUGCCACUUUUGAAAUUUCUAUUCCCCUUAUUACCAUUAAUGAGUCCUCCUCGAAACAUAUUUCUCGGAAUCCUAACUCUUCCCCGAAAGUGAUUGCAUGCAAGCACGCCCAUGCCUCCGCCGUUGUUGGGAUCGCGAUGUGUCUACAUGGGUAAAUAAAUGCACCCAUUACCAGUCCCUCGUUAUUUCUUGUGAUAAUACCUGACUUUGAGUUGUUCUAAUUUUGUUGAAAUGAAGCAUCGAAGUUUAUUUUGAUAGUA